UACGGGGGGGGCAAGCGUUGUUCGGAAUUACUGGGCGUAAAGGGCGCGUAGGCGGUUCGCUAAGUUGGAUGUGAAAACUCUGGGCUCAACCCAGAGCCUGCAUCCAAAACUGGCGGGCUAGAGUUCUGGAGGGGGUAGCGGAAUUCCUGGUGUAGCGGUGAAAUGCGUAGAUAUCAGGAGGAACACCAAUGGCGAAGGCAGCUCGCUGGGACGGUACUGACGCUGAGACGCGAAAGCGUGGGGAGCAAACAGG
rnacentral:rRNA from 1 species